UGGGGAAUAUUGGACAAUGGGGGCAACCCUGAUCCAGCCAUGCCGCGUGAGUGAUGAAGGCCUUCGGGUUGUAAAGCUCUUUUGGCGGGGACGAUGAUGACGGUACCCGCAGAAUAAGCCCCGGCUAACUUCGUGCCAGCAGCCGCGGUAAGACGAAGGGGGCUAGCGUUGUUCGGAAUUACUGGGCGUAAAGCGAGUGUAGGCGGUUGCCGUAGUCAGGUGUGAAAGCCUUGAGCUCAACUCAAGAAAUGCACUUGAUACUGGGUGACUAGAGGACCGGAGGAGGAUAGUGGAAUUCCCAGUGUAGUGGUGAAAUACGUAGAGAUUGGGAAGAACACCAGUGGCGAAGGCGGCUAUCUGGACGGUUACUGACGCUAAGACUCGAAAGCGUGGGGAGCAAACAGGAUUAGAUACCCUGGUAGUCCACGCCGUAAAACGAUGGGUGCUAGACGUUGGCGAGCUUGCUCGUCAGUGUCGCAGCUAAACGCGUUAAGCACCCCGCCUGGGGGAGUACGGCCGCAAGGUUGAAAACUCAAAAUGAAUUGACGGAGUCAUAGCUGUUUUCCU
rnacentral:rRNA from 1 species